GGGAGAGGCCGGAUCCUGGGCUGUGUCCAGGGCGCCCUGUGCUCUCAGGCCUGCGCUGUUGGAUUUGCGCUCUGGCUGCGCAGCCGCCU
rnacentral:pre_miRNA from 1 species